rnacentral:rRNA from 1 species
CACAUGCAAGUCGAACGGUAACUUUUGGUGCUUGCACUGAAAGACGAGUGGCGGACGGGUGCGUAACGCGUAUGCAAUCUACCUUUUACUAGGGUAUAGCCCAGAGAAAUUUGGAUUAAUCCCCUAUAAUAUCAAAAUUCCGCAUGGUUUUUUGAUUAAAGCUUCGGUGGUAAAAGAUGAGCAUGCGUCCUAUUAGUUUGUAGGUGAGGUAACGGCUCACCUAGACUACGAUAGGUAGGGGCCCUGAGAGGGGGAUCCCCCACACUGGUACUGAGACACGGACCAGACUCCUACGGGAGGCAGCAGUGAGGAAUAUUGGACAAUGGACGAAAGUCUGAUCCAGCUAUGCCGCGUGCAGGAUGACAGCCCUACGGGUUGUAAACUGCUUUUAUACAGGAAGAAAAAUCCCGACGUGUCGGGGCUUGACGGUACUGUAAGAAUAAGGAUCGG